rnacentral:misc_RNA from 1 species
GAUUUUUAGGGUUGCAGAUAGAAAGUUAAUAUUUGAACAAAAAAGCAUCCAAAAGGAGUUGAGUUAUCGUCGGAGCUCGCCGGAGUUCUGGGAAUCUCGUUAUGGUCGUAUAGAGGUAAAUCCUUUCUUGGUUUUUUGUAAUUCUCGGUUCUUCUAUGUUGUUCCGUUUAUGAUGAGGCUGUGUUGGUGUUCUUUUUAUGUGUUAUCUGUGUAUAUAUUCUGUUUUGAGAUAGUUUAGUGUUAGUUGUUAGCAUAUUAGAUCUCACUCUUGCUCGAUCAUAAAAGGUUUAUUUUCUUAUUCGAUCUAAGCUGAGUAUAAAAGGAUUAUCUAGUUGUAGUCUUUUGUAUAUCUCCAUCGUUU